UCCCUGAUAGCUCAGCUGGUAGAGCGACGGACUGUUAAUCCGCAGGUCGCAGGUUCGAGCCCUGCUCGGGGAGCCA
rnacentral:tRNA from 2 species